CUGUUCAACUACUAACUUUAUAGGAAUGAGACAUUAUUUAACAGUGUAUUAUACCAUACAAAAUCACAAGACCACAAUCUAAAGAAACAAUAGGUAUCAAAAUUAUUUGCACCUCAAAACAUACAUAUAUAAGCUCCCACUCACAACCAAGGUAACAAGUUACAAAAAGUAAGAAGUGUAGAACAAUUAGUUCAUAAGGACCCCCGUAGUGUAAUAAUUCAUUUUCUAUUAUUUCUUUCUGUCAUAUCUUUAAUAGCAUGUUGGUUACACCUACAACCGAAAUGGAAACCGAGCAUUUCGUGGUUAUUCGCUCUUUUUCCUAUUCAAAGAUCAGCCCCCUGACUUUGUGUUUUCAUAUUGAGAAUUAUUUGCAACUGAAGAGAUGAAGGACAGAUCCAUUGUGGAUUUUUACAUCCGUUAUUUUAUAUUUAUAUAGGAAUGAAGAUGCUCUAAGCUCGACAAAGUUUGUUAUGUUCUACUCAAACCUUAUACACACACGCGCGCGCGCGCGCACACACAUACAUAUACAUAUAUACAUAUAUGUAUGUAUUAUUCAUUUCCAUUCAACAUAAAUUAAAAGGCCUAGAAUGUAUGAAAAGGAAGGUUCCAUCAUCACUUCUUGCAGUGGAUCAUACAUCAUAGUUAGUUGCAUUCGCAUUAGUCCUUGAGGCACUAAACAUUGUUUUCCCAGUGUAAAUAGAAUAAAAAAUUCAGACACGAUAUGUUUGGUGUAUAGUACUAGUGAAAAGUAAAGUUGAUAAAAUUUUAGCUUUUUUUCUUGUUUAAAACUAUCUAGGAGUGUAUAUUCGAGUCCAUAAGCUGAUUGAUUUACUAAUCCAUUUCUGUAAAAAUCUAGAAACAAACCUCUUAUCCAAGUCUGUGGGAGCCAGAGAUCUAAGACUUGAAGAAAGUUCCUCUCUCAGCAGCAUCCUUGUUAGCAUCUCCAAGUGCAGCAGAGCUCGACUACCGGUCAGCCAACUGCACCCUCUUCACAUUCUCUUGCUUGGACAAGCAUGUUACCAUAAUGAAGAAUCUUCUCCAGGGUCAUCUUCGGCUGCUCGAAUUAUGGAGGUCCUUCUGUCGAGUUAACGAGCUUCUUGCCAAUGUUGUUGACUCCGACUCCACUGAUCCACUUCCUUAGUUCCUUACUUCAUAAUCGUAAACUCGUGCCCUCAAUUCACCAAAGAAAUCUAAGCAUAAAAGCAUGGAGAUGAUCAAUAUAAUUAACGUAUUCAUUGUAUACGCUUAUGUAGCUGGAGGUGGCUCAAUCUUUAGGUAAGUGAGAUAACUACCUAAGGCCAUGCAUUUGGGCAAUGCCUCUAAAUUUUAGGAACCAUGCUACAUUGCGUGAAAAGUUUAACAUCUUUGAAAAUGCCCAAAUACACGAAUUAAAAUUAAGAUACAAAGAUCUUUAACUCAACAGAAAAUAAAAAUUGACCACAGAGAAU
rnacentral:lncRNA from 1 species